CUUUUUUCCCCAAUAGCACUUCGCGUCUAAGGGCCCACUCCUGUAAUCACUACAUACUCAUUGAAGCACCUGAAAACGUUCCGCUGAUCACCACACGAACUAUAAUUUCGUCACCUCUACUCUCCUGCGUUAUUUGUAUAAACACGUUACGAAAAAACAAGUUAGGAAUCGUAUGCAAAAUGUAACAAUUCGCCAGAAUUUAACAUUUUACUUUUAUCUUACGUAACACAACAACGAUGUUAACAAAGGUAGCAUGGAGACUCCUCAACCAGAUACUUCGGCAAUGAAGAGACAAUUACUAUUGCAAGAUUUAAACUAAAAUUGAAAUAACUAGACAACUUUGGGGGAGGGGGGGAUCUCCAUAUCAAAUGCCAAGGAGUCGGUCUCUAGUUGUUAUAUGCGCACAGGCGGACGGUUGAUGCUAUUUUAAUAGGCACGCAGCAAGAUUACGAAUGCGCCUAAGAAGCCUCGAGUUCAUUCUCUUUGGCAAAUCCUAAACCUACAAAUAAUUAUCUUCUAUCUCUACUCACAGCAUGGCGACUAGUGCCAGAACCAGUACUUUGACAUGACUAGAAUAAUGUGUGGCUUUCAACAUUAACAACACCCCUUAUUCUAGUCAUUUUGUACGCUAGUCAUAAUAUGAGGGUGUACUUCUGAGGAGGGGGCAUGAGACACACAGUGUCGAUGGAACGCGGAAAUCCGGAGUUUCGUUGCAAUAUGGAGUUCAACCACAAGUAUUUACGAUGCGGGUAUACCUGCAUUCUUAUUCCUGGAACUUUCAUGCCAACGCAGUGCUUUACAAACUGUGACACGCGGGUCGACUGGACCUCUAUCUAUGCAAUGCAACAGUUCCUAUUUUCCACAUGACGGCGCACUAGAAUAAAGCCCAAUGUCUCACGCCACAUUAAAGUUCUGUAUUAUUCACCAUUUACAUGUUUUGUUUUAUUUAUGGGUUAUUUAUCGACACUCUAAGUAGUUCAGGAUAGACAGCAUCGUAUAAUACGAUGAUUAAUGAAUAAUGCAUUAGGAAAUCGGAAGAAGUGGUUGUGCCCUAAUCUAAGAUACUAUGCUCGGAAUUUGCCUGGUGGAUAUGGUGAUAUUAAGUGUUGUUGUUGUUGUUUUGAACUAUGUUACUGGUGGCUUGAUCCCAAGUUUUGUUACAUAAUGAAGAAAUGCCUUGAACAUUUUAGUUACACAAGUUAAGAUAUUUUCCAAAAUAUGAGCAAAAAAUAUACAAUAAAACAAGACGAAUAGCAGUACUUCAUGCAAUCUUACCAUUCUGUGUUGGUGUGUACUUUACAAAAGGAGUGCGGCUGGUACGUAGAUGAAGUGCCGUUUCUCAUUUGGUGUACUAUAUACGCAGAACAGACGUAGUGCAAGACACGUAAGGAGCAGCAGACAAAUGCAGUGUUUUGGGCCGUAUUACGUAUACCAACUACUGCCCGCGACUGUAAUCUUGAGACUUGCGGGUCAAGAUUACAGUCGCGAACAGUAGGCGUCUUGUAGAAUAUCAGUUCCGGAGCGAUAAGUCUGCACAUGCACGAGCUGUAAAGUUGUCGUAUGAGAUAUGGAACGUGUGUUAUGACGAGCAGCUACUUACUUGCAGACACGUGGUGUUACGUUUGUGAUAUUAGUGUUUCCGUAAAGUUUGUACUUCGUUGCUUACAUGUACGGUGAUUUGAGGUCUGCCUGGUGGUAGUUCCUGUUCUGGGAUUUCCGGAUAACAGUGUGUGUCGUUCAAAGGAAGAAUGUGUAAGAGUGAUAGUAAGGGGGAGUGUGAGGGUGAGGAUUUUAGGGAAAGGGCGAAUGGUUCCGAGUAGGGUUAGGGCGGCGAGACGAUGUAGAAAUGUGUAUUUCUUUGGAAUGUUUAUUUAAUACAUUAUAAUGCUGGCCUAGCGGUACUACCUCGGCCAAUUCAUUUUUUUUAAAACAGAUGCAUUCUAAAUCUGAUUUCUGAAACGUAGGGAUUUUGUUUAACAAUCACGGAAAGAGCUUAUAUAGAGGUGCUCUGUUUCUUAAAACAGAUAUAAGAAAAAGCAUUAACAGGGACAUAGCACGGAAUAUCUUUAAUGAAACUGAAAGUCAUUUCGGUUCAUUGACACCCGAAAUGUGUCUUCAAACAAAAAAUACCAAAAGUGAAGAAAAAAAUCAUUGUCUCAAAGCACGAAGUUAAAUUUUCUCACAGAUGGAUACAUUCAGCUAGCUGUUAGGGUAACGAAAAGGAAAUUAUUCUUUCUGGACCCUAAAAAUGCUCCUGAAAACUUCAUUACGCAGUAGUCCGACAUAUGCCCGUUCAAGUACUAACAGGAGUAAAAUGCCGAAGCAUAUAAAAUGAUCGAAUCAGAAAAUACGAGGCAUCCUAGAAUGAUACCUCAGGUGAUGAAUGUACAUCAAACAGGCCUACAGAAAACAAAAUAGUGUCACACGUAAAAAAGUCACGAAGACAGUUCUUUACGUAAACGUCGGAAAGAUCAUUUGAGCCUUACCUUCAAAGCAUCUGUAUAGAAUGAUGGUUAUCUUAACAAGUGUUCACGUCAUUCUUUUAAUAAGCGUCCUGAUUACUGAUGUUAUUAGAGCUCGAAGUUAAAAUAUUGACAACCUUGUCAUGUAAAUGAAAACGAUCAAGAGCAUUUCCCUCUCUUUCUAAAUAAAGGAUUCUCUCCUUGAACCUGGCCAUAGCAGCUUUUUCUGGCUUCUCCUAUUCUUCCUCCCCGACUUUCCCCUCCAAAAAGCAGAAGACAUAUGACCGUGUAAUACCAGAGUUUACCGCAUGACAGCAGCAUUGUACACUGAAAAUAGGUCUGCUAAUUGCUUAUUACCAACUGUAUAUAAAUUUUACUAGACAAAAUGAUUUUAAUAUAAUUGCGUUUACGCAGGAAUUUCUUAGCGUAUGAACCAUAGAAAUUCAACGUCAAGCAGGUUAUUUAAAUACUUUCACCAUAUUUAUUUGUAGAGUUAGAUGCCACUGUAUAAGUAUAUAAUUAAAAAAUAUCUUCCAUAAAAUAAUCACAGAACAUACAAUGAUCUGAACUACAUAGAGCAAGUUCUUUGGCUGGCAGUAGCCAAACUUAUAAAUAAAUUCCUUGCCCUUCUUGGAACCUGGAAAAACAUAAACAUUCUUAGGAUGACUGUCUUCUGGGUUUUUGUAAUGUGUAGUCUGGUGAACUUCUA